rnacentral:lncRNA from 1 species
CGUCAUCUACAUCAUUUAUAAGAACUUCGUCAACAUGCUCAUCAUUAUUUACGGUGGAUGACAUAUCUGUAAGAAAAAGAAUAAAAUAAAUUACUUGAAUAACAAUCUAUAUACUUAUUAUUAAAAAUAUCAACAAUCACCUAAGUACAACGACAUAAAAUUCUAACAUUUCAAAAUAAAUAUUAGUAACUUGAAUAAAAAUCAAAUGUAGAUUCCAAUAACCAUAAAGCAUAACUAGAACAAUAUGUUAAAGCACAUAUAAAGUUUUAAUAACUAAAAAAAUAAAAUGCAGAUAAUAAUAGGUAAUAUAAUUAAAUUUAUUCUUUUUGAAGCUCAAACAUCUUUUCCAACAAUUGCAAUUGUAACUUUGGAUCUUCUUGUGCUAAAAAUAUUUCUCUCAUUGGUUGCUUGACUAGUAGCACACUUGCUUUUCACCAUAAAUCGCUACCAACAAUUAUAACGGGUAAAUUACGAACAACAUCCAUGGCAUACUUAAUACUAAGUGAAGAGUCUUUUGACCCCAUAUUCAUUGAAGAGCGUGAUUGUAUUGCUUCAGCAAUUUUCUCUAUUGAUC